GACGAACGCUGGCGGCGUGCUUAACACAUGCAAGUCGAACGAUGAAGCCCAGCUUGCUGGGUGGAUUAGUGGCGAACGGGUGAGUAACACGUGAGUAACCUGCCCUGGACUCUGGGAUAACCCCGAGAAAUCGGAGCUAAUACCGGAUAGGACCUUGGAUCGCAUGAUUUUUGGUGGAAAGUUUUUCGGUUUGGGAUGGACUCGCGGCCUAUCAGCUUGUUGGUGAGGUAAUGGCUCACCAAGGCGGCGACGGGUAGCCGGCCUGAGAGGGUGACCGGCCACACUGGGACUGAGACACGGCCCAGACUCCUACGGGAGGCAGCAGUGGGGAAUUGUUCGCAAUGGGCGCAAGCCUGACGACGCAACGCCGCGUGGAGGAUGAAGAUCUUCGGGUCGUAAGCUCCUUUCGAUCUAGAAGAAUUCCUUCCGGGUGAACAAUCCGGGAGGUUGACGGUACCGAGAGAAGAAGCCCCGGCUAACUCCGUGC
rnacentral:rRNA from 1 species